CUCAAGCAAUCCUCCCCAAAACUCCUGGCCUCCCAAAGCUCUGGGAUUACAGGCUUGAGCCGCCACACCCUGACGGAUUAUAGCAUUUUCUAUACAAGGCUGGUUUAUGAGUUACAACCAUUUAAUUAGUUACAGUUUAUUUUCUUUCCCAUUCAGCUUGUUUUCUUUUCCUUUCCAAUUUAAAAGAGUGUAUUUGACAUUCCAUCUUAGACAAUGUGAUAGUCACAAAGUCUUUGUGAGAGAGGAAAGAGGGAAGUUAAUAUGCAAUGAAGAUCAACAGUUAAGAGGGAAGAGGUCUUCCCUGGACCUUUUAGUAAUUUACAACAUUUGACAAAACAAUGUCGGUAAGGGAGAAGGCUAAUCUGUAACAGAGAAACAAAGGUUCUAGCUGCUUGCUACCUCGAAACAGGUCCCAUUCCUUAAGGCUCAAAAGGUUUUAAAGUUCCAGCAAUUUAGGCUUUGAAUUACUCAUUUUCACAGGGAGAAGAGGGCUCUACCCCGAGGAAGAGGAGUUUGCAGUGGUUCUGGGGAGGCAAAACCUCAGCAAGUUUAAGGAACCAAAGGAAAGCUCAGAGGUCCAGCCCCACCUGCGCGCGGAGCCCUGGGCCGGCUGGCGUGGGUGAGCCGGGCAACGUGCCCGGGUGCCAGCGAGCCCGGGGCGGGAGGGCGGCAGGACCUGGCCCGUGAGAAAGCAGUCCUGCUGCAGGACAGGCAGGGCGUGGAGGGAGCCCGGGAAUCUCAUCGGCCGGAGGUGGUACAGAGAGAGGAAGGCGGUGGAAUGUUCUGGAGUGCAGGCUACAGAAGCACCUCACCAGACCAGGGCUGGAUUGGGUGUGGUUGUCCUGAAAGCAGAGGAAAAACAGCAAAAACAGAUAUUUUAAUGAAGUCGGUUUUCAGACUGGCGGAUUGUUCUGCCCUUCAUUAAAGAACCAAGGGGGUUCGUGUGGGGGUGGGGACAGCAUGAGUUUUGCUCGACUUCUCUCUUAUUCGUCGAUUUGGCUGCAAAUUUUGACUCCAAAAUCCAACCCCCCUCCUCCUCGAGAGCGUCCCGUCCCAAGAAGGAAUCUCGGUUAUGUCCUUUCAGGGGGCGUGAUCAUUUGACUAAUCCCCCACCCUGGCGAGGAGAGCUCUCCUUUGCACACGCAAGUUCUGCUGUGUUUGUGAAAAUGACCCGUCCUGUUCUUCGCUGCCUACCUGGAACUUCAUAAGCUAACCAUGAGCUAAGAAUCUCGUUAUUCAAACAACGAGCAGCCUGAUCCGUCGCAGCGGCGGUGCCUGUGGCCAUUCGCUCAGGACACGAUGCUUCUAAGACUUGCGAUGAUGUUAACGAAACACAUGAAGAAACUGUUGUUGAACAGUGAGAAGUUUUUCGAUUGUUUGGGAUGAAUACAAUGAAAGAUGCACACCAAGUACAGCACUUUAAAUGUUUCCUACCAGAUAUCAAGUGACUACCAAAGAGAAUUAAAUAACAUAUCUGAAAAGGUAAGAAACUGAAAUAAACCCCCUGCUAGCGGGGUUAUAUAGCCACUGGUAACCCUGCCCAACAAACGAAAAUUAUACCUACAAUUUCAAAACAUAACAAGCGGUUUAGAGCGCUGAUUCAAUGAAUGAGUUAUGCUCCAACUUAUCACUCUGUAAACAAUUUUAUAAAAAUAUAUAAUUUAGACAAUGAAAAGGCAUAUUGUAUGUAUUUCAUAAAAUGUUUUUGUAUUUUAUAAAAUCUACAUACGAUAUGUCUCAUGGUGUGG